rnacentral:rRNA from 1 species
UACGGAGGGUGCAAGCGUUAUCCGGAUUCACUGGGUUAAAGGGCGCGUAGGCGGCCUGCUAAGUCGAACGUGAAAUCCCCGAGCUCAACUCGGGAACUGCGUCCGAUACUGGCAGGCUUGAAUCCGGGAGAGGGAUGCGGAAUUCCAGGUGUAGCGGUGAAAUGCGUAGAUAUCUGGAGGAACACCGGUGGCGAAGGCGGCAUCCUGGACCGGCAUUGACGCUGAGGCGCGAA